AUUGUUCUUCUACUCACCUACAUCGUUCCUUCUACUCUUCUCCAUUGUUCCAUUCCAUCGCUCCUCUUCUCCAUUGUUCCUCUACUCUCACAGCAAAAUCUCAUCAAACCCUAAAGUGUUACACUCUUGUUUAACCUCCAUCUCCGUUGAACCCUAAAUCUCGUGAUUUCUCUCUCAAACCAGCACCUCACUAUCGAACCCUAAUUUCUUGCUCUCAACACCUUUGUUGUUCUCACCUCCUUCUUAUACUUCUUUUAUGUGUGUUUCAGGUUAUUGCAAGAAAGGUCGAGAAUCAAUAUACCUCGAAGGGAAAAUCUCAAUGUAACAACCGUUAUAUCUCCACAUUUUCUAUAAUUUUCGCCCCUGGACCUGUACAACGAUAUACUAGCUGGUGCAUUCGAAAGGGUUAUUAUGGUGAGACUUUGAAAUUGAAAUAUAGGCCAUUGUAAUAAGCUUACAUUGUUCCUCAAAACCUAUUGGACCAUAUGUAUGGAGGACAUAUAAGAAAGCUUUUGACGAAGUUUUGCAAAUCUAUUCUGCUAUAAGAGCUUCUGGUGUUGAACAUGUAAGUGUUUAAUUUUCAAAAGAGCUAAUUCACCCAUGAUGUCUACUUACAUUACAAUAGACAAUUAGUUUGUCUUCCUCAUCGACGGCAUUAAGUAAGCUGACAUACUCAAAAUCUGUGUAAUAUUAAGUUUGCGAUUUGUCCGUUGUAAUAUUCAUAUGGGUUCAUAUAGAAUGGCUAUUAUCUUGACUAAGUAAUAAAACAGUUCAUAUGAGUUUUGUAGUCAUUCAAGUGAGAGGGUUGAAUAUUAUUAGCCUUUGGAUUAAAAUAAAAGGUGGAGAUUAAAAUACUCAUUAAAAGAAACAUGUGAUAUCUGAACUUUGAAUACACACGCUUCCGGCAGUUAUACAAAAUAUUGCUGGGAUGAGAAUUGUGUUAGGGAAAAAUUAAAUAGAUAUAGUGUGCAAAGACAGAGAUAAAGUAUGUUCCUUUAGAUCUUAUGUAUCAGCAAGAGUUCAAGUAACAAGGACAGAGUUCAAGUAACACUAGAUUUUAUUUAGUUUUUACUACCAAGAAUUGAUUAGAAAUAUAGUCCCAGGAAUGACUACAUGUUCUUAUAUUUUAGUAUAUUUGUGUUAUUAUGUUACAUGAUGGACUGUCGUCUAGCCUUAGGAUCAAAUUUAUCAUAUGUUAUCACAUGUUUGAACUUUGAACAAAUGAAAUAUAUUUUUGAGCAAAACAAGGUUCUCAUGGUACAAUUAAAUAUAAGAAAAAUGAAGAAAGUGAAUUAAGUGCUUAUUUAUGUCCUAUUAAUGCUUUUUUUUUCUUCUUCUGGUUUUUAACAUGUUUCAAGAUUUGUCUCUGCUCCCCUGUUUCUAGAUAUUUAGCUGACGAUUUUAGCCCUUGAUGUUGGAUCGCUUGUACAUCCCCUGGCAGGGUAUUUUUCUGGUGGUGUUUGCGGCUGCUUUUGUCCUCUUGCUAUGUGCGGCGGCUUUGCGUUUUUGCUGUUAGUUAUGUUGAGUUGUAAUGUCGUGUAUAUAUAGAUAGGAUCGAUCAUUAUAUAUUGUUUAUGAGAUGUGUAUAACUAGUUUUUGGAUCAAUACAAAUGAUUGAUUGAUCAUGUUAUAUGCAAUGAAAUUAUUAUUCGGUGUUGAAAA